GAGCUCGCUUUGGCAGCACAUACACUAAAAUUGGAAUGAUACAGAGAAGAUUAGCAUGGCCCCUGUGCAUUUCUAUGGCCACUGUUAUUAAAUGAAAUUUAUUAAACCAAU
ensembl:snRNA U6 U6 spliceosomal RNA